CCAGAUUGACUAUUCCACAAAGCUGGAAGAUUUUUUUUAUUUUUUUACAUUUUUUGUGAGCUGCUUCUCCACUAUCUCCAAACCACAGACGAAGGGUCAGUGUCUCUUUUAGUAAUUGGAUAUAACGUUUUGAAACAGAUGUCAAAAAUAGAACACUGACUGGUUAUUUGAUUUUUGUUUUAAAAAUAGAAAUUAAUAAAUAAAUAAAUAAACAUUAUGAGAAAAAAUGGGAUUUAGUAAAGGGAUACGAUUCCUUCAAGGGGUCAGACAUGAUUAUAAUCUUGUGCAAGUGUUGAGUAAUUUCUCUAGUGAUGUAAAUGCAUUCUAAAUCAGACCUUAUUACUAAAGAAGUCUAUAAUUAUGGAUCUGGAUCUAAAUGAAGUACGAACACAAAAUGUUAAUCAUUACACAGGUGAAAAAGAAUCAUUCAUCAAGAUUAAAUGUAAAUCUCUCCUCAAGAAACUCAUUAAAAUGAUGAGUAUGUUUCACAUAAUGAGUUUCUUUAUAUCUUCGGAGAUCAUGGGAUAAUUUGAGGAUUUUACUUUUUGUGUGAUUAAUCCAGAGUAGGGGAGAGUGGGGUAAGAUCAUAGUUUUGUCUCUAACUAGUGUAUCUGCAGAUAUUUCAAGAUGUUGUUCAUCCCUGCAAACUAACAGAAUGAGUGUAAACAUAACUGUCUUGAUAAUAUAGCAUGCCAAAAAAAAGUGGUCUGGGGUAUGGGGUAAGUUGACCAUAGUAGUGGGGUAAAUUGAGUCGUAUCCCUACCACCCCUCCACUCUCCACCCCAGCCCUCCCUCACCUUCUCUCUCCCUAAAUAACAGUAACUUCUUCACAUUCGUGUAUAUUUUUAUCUAUUAUACACUAUUCAACUGGUACAAUAAUUCUUUUGAUUAUUAUUAUUAUUGCAUAAAACUGCUAAAAAGCUGUUUUGUAAAAGGUCAUGGAUAACACAAUUGAUGUAUAAAACAAAUUUAAAAUUAUCUUUUUUUGGUCUGAACACAAUUCUAAUCAAACUUGUGACAGACUAAAUUUACUUUCAAGAGAGAAAAAUGUUGGUUUUUUUGCAAACAAAUGUCUAACCUCUUCACCCAUGUGCUUCUAACCUUCACAGACUCCAUGAAUUGAUGCCCAUCUCCUAAAUAUUUGGUCACAUGAUCAAUUUCUUUGACCAUUUCCAAGCAACAGGGGGUGGCUCAACUUACCCUUUGGCUCAACUUACCUCACUCUCACCUAUGUUGAAUCAAAUUAUAGGAUCCGUUCUACGUGUUUUACACUCAGUUAUGUGUUUAUAGUUUAAACAUUAAAAUAAAAACGACUUUUAUAAAACUCUUAAUCACUUUUUUCACAAAAGAAAGCAAGUAAUUUCGUGUUAACUGUUAAACCCUGUAGAAAAAACACCCAGGCUGUGACAGGAAGAUGGUGACUCGGACGUUGAGACCGAAAAUUAUACUCUCAUUGGAAAAUUACCCGUCCAACUCCGCAGUCCUCACACUUUCGUAGUGUUUUAGGACAACUCUCAAAUAACAACAGGAAACAUAACGGAAACCUUUGUAUUUCGUAGCGCCAAACAACAAUGACUUCAUAACUCCGGACCCGCCGGAAACAAGAAGAACGACGUCCCAUCAUGCCUUGCGCGCGUACGCAAACGUCUGUCUAACGCAAAGUUAACGUUUGCUUCUCAGGACACAAUUUUGUGUUAGUGUUUUAUGGUUUUUGUAGUUUUUGUACGAACUAUUUAAGAUGUUUGCGUAAGUGAACGUAAAAAGAACCGCAAUUGAAACAUAUAUGUGCGCCGAUGGGGUCCGUGUGAGAACCUCAUUAUUGACAGUUCACUCUUGUUUCUCUUCAGAUCGUAUAAAUCUUUCGCCUUUUACUAAAGAUUUCCGUGGAGAGGAACAACAAGAGUAUAUCUCAAUUUUUUGAUGCCCUGCGAAAGCGGGGCUUCCUAAUUUGUACAAAGUUAAUCAUUGUCUUAACGGUACAUGAUAAUUUAUGUAUGAAACAAUAUGAAUUGGACCAGCGCACAAGCCUGCAUGAAGUUCUCAAAGUCAGGCCAAAAACUGCACAAUGUAUAAUUGGAGAACGUAAUAACCACACUUUAGUGUAGAAACUUUCUCUCAUAUGUGUUUUCACCGCACUCAGUUUCUGUUGUCCCCCCCUUUCCUCUAGAUCUCUGGCGCCAUCUCCAGGUUGACAAUCACCACUACAAAUGUUUAAUCUUUUCAAUACUGUAUGUCAAACCAGCAG
rnacentral:lncRNA from 1 species